rnacentral:lncRNA from 1 species
GACUGAGUUACAUUAUAUACAUCUUCAAUUAUAUGUGCUUCAUAAAAAUAUAUAAAUAAAAGUAGAGAGCGAGCCAGAGAAAGUGGGGAGGGCUAGAGGGAGGAGAUGGGGUCGGGGAGAGAGAGAGCGUGAAUAUUUAAUUGUACGAAUGAUCUGUUCACCAUCCCAGGAGACAGGAAUGUGCUAUUCUCUUGGCUGGCCUGUUUCUACCUGCUUCUCAUAGCAUAAACAUCUCACUUCAUGGAGUGAGUCUACAAUUUAGUUAUGUGUUUUUUGUACAACAUGGUUCCCAUACACAAACCAAUGCCUUUAUCUGACACACAAGUGAAGAAAGAAUAAUCUGUCUUAAUGCUAGACUGUCUCUGUUGGAUUUACUAAAUGACAGUACGUUGGUUUCUGUAGGUCACAUUUAACAUACAUUGUAGAAAAUUUAAGGUUAACAGUGGUAAUCUUAUCCAGUGGUAUUAUUUAAUUAUAUAAAGAUUUCCUAUGUAUUAAUUUUAGGACCUAAGCUGGGUGCAGUGGCUC